GACGAACGCUGGCGGCGUGCUUAACACAUGCAAGUCGAACGGUAAGACCCUUCGGGGUACACGAGUGGCGAACGGGUGAGUAACACGUGGGUGAUCUGCCCUGCACUUCGGGAUAAGCCUGGGAAACUGGGUCUAAUACCGGAUAGGACUCCUGGCUUCAUGGUUGGGGGUGGAAAGCUUUUGCGGUGUGGGAUGGGACCGCGGCGUAUCAGCUGGUUGGUGGGGUAAUGGCCUACCAAGGCGACGACGGGUAGCCGGCCUGGGAGGGUGACCGGUCACACUGGGACUGAGAUACGGCCCAGACUCCUACGGGAGGCAGCAGUGGGGAAUAUUGCACAAUGGGCGCAAGCCUGAUGCAGCGACGCCGCGUGAGGGAUGACGGCCUUCGGGUUGUAAACCUCUUUCAGCUAUGACGAAGCGCAAGUGACGGUAGUAGCAGAAGAAGGACCGGCCAACUACGUGCCAGCAGCCGCCGUAA
rnacentral:rRNA from 1 species